GAUGCCGUAAAGCGAUUGGCGCAAACAGUCCAGCAGGAAACUAUAUGUAGCAGCAUAAAUGGUACGCUGCCACUUUAAGGCCAAUUUCAGCUGCUGCAUAUAAGCAGGUCUCUACCUGCCACAAGACUACUUGCGUCAUGACGUCAUCAACUCAUUCUGCUUCCUGUGUUUGCUGAGCUGUGCUGGCCUCCCUUGCUGCGCCUCCAACUCCUGGACCAAUCUGGUUGUUUGCUGCCGGGCAGCUGCGCUGCAUAGGUGAACUUGUGGAUCUGUUUAACUGGCCGUGUGGUAAUUUACAGGGACUGAAGCUUCUGUGGUGGCGGUGGUGACCCCUGGUGGCGGUGUCUUGUCUUGUGUGUUUUGUUGGAGCACCUUUGUGUGUGUGUGUGUGUGUGUGUGUGUGUGUGUGUUUGUAGUGUCCAGGGUGAUCCCUUUUCUUCACUGGAUGUUGCCCAUUUCCUCACUUUUCUCUCCCCCCACCGAGUGCGGUUUUCCUGCAGGUCGGAGUGCGGCGAGCCGCUCAGGCUGCAGGUCAGGAAUGAAGACAGCAGCAGCAGCAGCAGCAGAACCGGGCCAGACGGCACCAUGACUGAGGACAAACACAGGAACGUCAGAGAACCGAUGAUGAGAAACCAAACGUACCGUGAUCCUCAGUUCUGGGUGAUGCUUUUUCUGGAAAGACAAAACGGUUCAGAAGUUUGUUGAAGCAUUUAAAAAAUGAACAAAAGAAGUUGUUUUAAUAGAAGUGAGAUCUGAACUGACC